GAGGAAGGUGGGUCCCUGGCUAGGGCUCCACCCCCAUGAAUCUAGGGGUGCUCAAUGUCAUCACAAGGGUCCUUAAGAGGGAAAGAGGAAGCCAUGAGGGUCAGAGUCAAAGGAAGACUUGAAGAUACUACACUGAGGACUUUAAAGAUGAAGGAAGGGGCGAAAACCAAGAAUGUGGGAAGCCUCUAGAAGCUAGAGAAGGCAAGGAAACAGAUUUUCCACUAGAGCCUCCAGAAGGAACACAGCCCUGCUGACCCACUGUAAUGUCUGACCUCUAGAUGUGUAAGGGUAGUAAGACUGAAAGUCUCAGAAAGGCACUGUUACAUUCUUAUUCCACAACCAUGCAACUCAAAACUGGGGUCCUCAGCAAUGAGCGAGGGGCGAGAGAAGGCACUGUAUAAACAUGGCACAUCCUCCUGGAAAGUCAACUUUACUCAAAGGUUCUUACACACAGUGACAGCUAGCAGAGUCUAAAGUGCUGACAUUAUGACUUAGAGAUGUGAUAAAGAGAAACAUCUAUUGCAUUUUCUGUACCAAAAGCUUUUACUUCACUGGGGAGAUUUUUCACAUGGGAGGAAAAGGACAAGUGGACUAUCACCUAUGUGGUCAGCUUACAACCUGAAUUUCUUGGAAAUGACCUAAUUUAAUUAUCUUCAUGGAUCUCCUUUGCUCUUUGAAUGAAGAGUAGUCAGCUAUUUUUUUGUGUGUGUGUGUGUUCUGAAUGAGGCUCUUGAGUGUCAGUUGCCAUUUUAAUGAAGUAGUGAUUUGGGCCCUUUCCUGAGAAUACAAGAGUUCAGGUGUCAUGCUAGUUGGCUUGGCCCCUCUUAUUCUUCCAGUAUCCCUGAUAGGUCAGAUCAGAGUGAUUCUGGAGGGAAAGUAUGUUUCACUGUGGAUAUGUACAAUGGCAAUUCCCAGUUCUGGAAUUUAACUUAAUUCAAUUAUUCACAUGAUGAGCAGCAUCCACACACUCCUGGUAAAAUUUGAUAAAAUGCUGUAGCAUCAAGAUGCUUUUGUAGAGACCUCUCUGCCAUUACCUGUUUUCUUGACUGGCAUUAAUCUCUACCAAAGCUAGAGACUUGAGCAUCAUCCUGAAUUCAGAGUCAUAAUCUGACAGCUACAGGUCAAAGUUGGCCCAAUGAUGUGUUGUUGGGAGUACCUUGAGCUUCAAAAAAAUAAAUAAAAGUAAUUUUCAACCCUGAAAAA
rnacentral:lncRNA from 1 species